rnacentral:tRNA from 1 species
GCGGCUGUGGCGGAACUGGUAGACGCGCAGCGUUGAGGUCGCUGUGGAUGAAUAAUCCGUGGAGGUUCAAGUCCUCUCAGCCGCACCA